CAAUUCAUCAAGUGAUGCUCCCUGCUAAAGGCUGCUGGCUCUUCCUCUCAUCUCCUGCUCCCAGGGAAUAAGAGGUGGACACCCUAAGGACCUGGAUUUGCCCUCCCAGCACCUGGAAAAUUCAACUCACGCCAAAAAGAAUUCACCUCUGAACAAGGAGAAAUGACGACAAGAAAGGAGGCUUUUAUUACUAUGAGCAACGACAACUGGGAGCCACGACAGACAAACAAAGGAUCUACAGACCAGAAGCUAACGUGU